AUAACUUUCCAUAGAAACAUUUCUAUGCUGUAGGUAAACGAAAAUCCUGUUUCUUUUCAAAGUUUGCUGAUAAAGGCCUUCGUUCCAUCCCGAGUUUGACGAGACCUCUUUCAACAAUAUCAAAGAACGUAUUCAAAGAUGCAGACUUGAGUCAUCUUAGAAUCCGGCUUACAAAAUAUACUAAGGUUUUCCUUUCCCAUUACUUUAUCCCUGUUUUCUGUAAGCAUCCUGAGUGGAAUCUUGUGUUGUUAUCCUAUUCAAUUUUUGAUUGUGUGGUUCAUUGUAUUCAGAUUUUAUAUACACUUGUUAAUUGAUGUAUAGUUAGUGGUCUAUCUUGUACUUACCUGGGGGCCCUCUGAUGGCACUCCUUAUAUGGAACAGAUAUCAUAUAUGUGGUAGUGAGAUGGGUGACAAAUAAACACGACAUUUGUGGUUUUAUGCAGCGGUUAUUAGACCAGUUGUACUUUAUGGAACUGACUGUUGUGCAACUAAAAGAUAAUUUUCACGAGUAUUAGAGUCUGUUUCCGGAUAAUUAGUUUAUUACCUUGUAUAGGCUAGCUAUCACACAAAAUCGGGAUUAAUUCCCAUUGUAUAUUUUCCUUAUAUAGCUUUGUACCAUCCUAUAAAUUAAAAGGCAAUACACAAUAGAGAGGAUUCAGCAAAAUCUGUCAAUGAGAUGAAUGAAAUACAAAUGAUGAUGUGAGAAGGAUGUGUGGCUAUAUUAGAAUAAAUAAAAAAAGAAAUAAUGGUAUGGUCCAACAAAGGAGGUAGGGCUAAUUGAAAACAAAGUAAAUAAGUAAUGGAAUAACGACUUAGAUGGUUGGGCAUGUUUAUGUUUAGUAUAAGCCUAAAUAAGUCUUCAUUUACAAAAGUAAUUCAGUUUGUGUAGAAUGUGCUAGAAGAGGGAGCCAUAGACCAAAAUUAACUCGGACUAAUAUGAAAGAUUUGAUAUCAUUGAGCCUUAGACCAAAAUUAACUUGAACUAAUAUGAAAGAUUUGAUUUUAUUAGACCUCUUAUAAGAUGCAUUGCUGGAUCAAAUAGUGACAAAAUGAUUCGCGUAUUGACACAAGGUAGUUGGAAAUAAGACCUCUUCUAGCUUCCUGAUGUCCUUUUACUCAUUUCUCUUCUGUAAGCUGCCUUUAUACAAUUCUGGGGACCUUAAUGUUGAUCUCUUCUCGUUGGUGUCUUGGAGAUACUAUGGAGUAAGCUUAUCAAGACCUGUUUUGCAACCGGCUUUAGGAAUAUGCUCAUGCAAGAUUCUUUCUCCCAAAUCAGUGGCAUUUGAAAGCCAAAGGGUUGAUAGAUUCUUGUGGAGUUUUAAAGAGUGGUGUUCAUGUCAUUUAUUUCUUGGAGAUGCUUUUUUCAGGAACGGGUGAUUGAUUUUUGACCUUUCUGAAUUAGAAUAGUUUCCUGAAAUGUUUGCUCUCAUAACAUGAUCUCCCUGUGAUAUGGUUUGGUUAGUGGAUCUUAAUCUUACUAGUCCGUGUUGUCAAUUGUGAGGAACGUAUUCACCAUGGGACAUUCAUGAAUACUUCAAUCUCCUAGUGAUAUUGUUUGAUGGCUGACUCCAAAUGCAUGCAGUGAAGUUAGGCUAGUAUUUUAGUUUCUCACAAAUUUCCUCAAGGUCCACCGUGGAAUUUGUAAUGCACAUGCUUUAUGUUUUACAGGUCAUUUUAGUCCAUGAAGCACAAGGUUAUAUAGCUUAGGUGGUUUGGUCUGCUUAAAACGGGAUUUUAGCCUUGGGAGACAUCAAUUGAACAUGAAUUCUAUCUACUUCCAGUUAUGUUUGUUGUGUUUAAUGCGCUUUUUUGGGGGGGGCGGGGGGGAGGGGUUGAAACUUGCAUUGUUUAGGACAAUGGAUGCCGCUGUAUGAAGUUUUGGAUUAAAUAGUUCGUUUCACUUUAAGAGAGCAGUUAUCUGACUCUAAUUGAAUUUCCUGAACCACUAGAAUAGUGUAGUAACAUGUUCAUAUUUCCAUUACUUGCUAGAAGUUUAUGGACAGAAUGGUGUCAGCUUAAUCAUUUUUUGGGUGUUUGCUAUUGAUUUGAAGGAAAUUUGGUUAAAGACGCUUGUUUAAGAAAGUACGUCUUUGUUGUACUCACAAAUUAGCCUGGAACUUAGCAUUCAUAAGUUACACUGAUAAUUAAAAGAGAGAAAUACUCACUGAUGCAUUUGAUGUGUGCAUUUUUCAUGUAAUGCACAAAUUGAUCACAAGUGUUAAAAAUUUAAUGUAAAUGCAUAGAGCCAGCACAUUCAAGUAGUCUUGCAGUGCUAAAUUAGAUAAAAAAUAUCCGUAUUGAUUUUCUGAAAUUUUACUUUUUGAAGCACGUGCUUCUAAACUAUUCUUCCCCAUUAAUUUGUGCAGAGAGUGGAUCUUUCCAGCUGCCCACAGUUCACACCAUCACUUGUUCUCCUGUCGAUGCUUCCUUUUUCAUGCUAUGCAGGUCACAUGCUAGAAAAGAGCAUUAAGGAAUCUUUAAUUAACCGUGUGCGUCUAAAAGAGGACGCCUUUCACGUAUCACAAGCAUUGGGGCUAAUGUUGACUUUUAUUGAAGUAGAAGAGGUGGAUAUUUCAAAUUGUCCAAUGCUACAUCUUGAGGCUGCCAUUGAGUGCUUCUGCAAGUUCCCAUCAUUAAGAAAAUUAAAGGCAGCUUACUCUUUAGACUUCAAAACAAAGAUGAUGUGUCAAUUGGUACAAAAGUGCCCACUACUCUCUGACAUUGACCUAACUGUGGAUGUUACUCCUGUUAUACCUGGACGCGUGUCAAUUGUAUCUUCCUGGCCGGCCUUGCCACAAAGAUCUACAACAUAUUUCAACCUUGAUAAUUGUUAUUCUGCUGCCUCUUUUUCAUAUAUGUCGAGGCCAUUCCUCUCAAAUAUCACGAAACUCACGUUGGAAGGCCGAACCGACAUCAGAGGUAACUCUUUUUUUGAGGGGGGGGGGGGGGGGACAGGGAGAGAGAGAGAGAGAGAGAGAGAGAGAGUGUGUGUUCCCUCCACACUGCAGUCCCACCCCAAAGAACAAUGAACCAUGAUGCAUAUUUGUAUGUAUACAUAUAGGUGUAUCCUAGUCUCCUUUGCAUCCGAUGUCAUUAUUUUCACCUUUUUGGAAAUUCUUUUGGUUGCUUAAAAAUUAAGACAUUCAAUUUCAAUACAUAAAAGAAUUGGAUCUUAAGAGAUUCUCAUGCAAAGGGUGCCAGCUAGGAUUAUUUUGCUUUGAUCAAGAGUGUGUGUACCUACUACCCACCAUUCAUUGAACAUUAACUAGGUAGAUGGUCGUAGAUGUGGCUUGCUGCAUAUUUUUAGGUUGGAAAUCAUCUGUUACCGAACUGUUGAUGUAAGGGAAGAAGUCUGUUUGCUGUUUUCUUUCAUCUAUGCACUUCAAUGUGUAGCAUGUCCUCCACAGGUGUAAAUCAACAAAAUGAAAGAGAAAAAUGCAUAGACAAUAUAACAAGGAUGCGUCUUGUAAGUUCUUUCAGAAUAUCAAACAUAGGAGAUUGCAUUGCUAAAAAGCUCGUUUUCAAAUAGCAAAGAUAACUAAUGCUACUAUGGCAAUUGUAGUUGUGGAAAAAAGAAGCAAGUGGUGUUAUGGAAAUAUGUUAAUAUACGAAAGGUCAUACAGAAUUUUAACAUGGUAAAGAUUGGGCCUUCUUUGAUUAUAUAAGCUAAAACAAUAUUUAAAAAAUGUUUUGAGGCUGCACCUGGAGUCCUGCCUAACAUGAGGCUCUCUUUAAAAGCAUCAAAGCUCAUGCCUUGACUUAGUGAGGCUUACGCCUUAAGAAAAGCACCAUGCAACUUCAUAGUUGAAAACCUUUCAGAUGGCAGGAUCAAAGCCAAUCUUACAAGCAUACCAAUGGACAUAUAAUCCCUUUGCUGCUAACUUCCAAGCUAAUUCCACUAAUUCCUUUCGUUUCGAAAAACUCCUCAUCCAACAAAAGCAAAUUUAGUUCUCAAAUUGAUUAUCAAGUGCUAAGAGAUCCACUAUAGAACAGGCUGACGGAUAAAACUUAACCAAAUAAAACUGUUCGUCGAAAGAGUAAAAUCAAUUGUUUGGACUUGAGUAAGCUACAAAAAUAAGUAACUCCAUAUUCACCAUUGUAAAAUGAUUAUCAAGUUCUUGAAGUUGCAUCUCCACAAUCUGUUGAAUGUUUCUACAGGAUAACGGUUUAAAUUUUUGGUUUGUGCUAUAUAUCGUGCCUUAGGCUUUAAAGAUAUGAUCCAUGUUGGGAAUAGGAUGCUCUAUUUCUUCUUAUUAUCUGCAAUCUUUAUUGGCAUAUUUUAAGUAAUAGCAUUUAUGUAUCUUGAUCUUUUGCUAGCAAGAGCUUUUACAACUCAUUAUUACGCCUUAUUUUUAUCAGUAUAUGGGGGCUUCUAUGCGUUUCUUUUAAUUGGCCGGCCUUGUAAAAUUGAACUAUUUUUUGUUGGUUCAACAGAUUCUGAUCUCCAUGACAUCUCAGAGUUCUGUGCUUCCUUGUGCUACCUUAACCUUAACGGGUGUACUUCAUUGACGGACAAUGGUUUAUCAGUAAUAAUUCUGAAAUGUAAAAAACUACACUCAGUUUUGGUGUGUGAUACUUCUUUUGGGAAUAAUUCAAUUCUGGCACUUUGCUAUGGGAUUUCUGUUGCGGAAUCCAAAAGAGGAAACUACUCUCACACGACGGCUUCGAAGUGUCAAACCCUGCAUAUUGGUGGCUGCAAUGGUGAGCAACAUUUCCUUUGUCCACUCUCACCCUCUUUUAUUUUCAGUAUUCCAGGAAAGUAAAGAGAAAUUCAAUUUUCAAAAGUUUUUUAUGUCAGUAUGUGUCAGAAGUUUUUCUGAUGGAAAUGUGUUUUUUUUAUAAAGUCUUUCAUAAUAUCAGAGUGAGCAUGAUUUUAUAUUUGGUUCACUUGAGUAUUUUUGAGACUUUUUCCUCAUUUGAGUAUAAUCUCAAUUGAUGUGUCUGCCAGUAUCUUUGAUGGUAUACACAAUCAAAUAUGUAUAGCUAACAGCUGGAAUACAUUAUAGUACACACGCAUCAAAUAUGUUUAACUUAAUCUUGUGAAUGUCAUAUAUACAAUUUAUUCUCAACACUAUCCACUUCUUCCCUUCUUUGGCAGGGAUAAAUGAAACAGCUUUGUCAGAGCUUCUCUCUGGAGCAAAUAAUUUGACGAGUCUGUGUUUGCGGGAGAUUCAACUUGAUGACAAUGCUCUUUAUUGUUUUUCAGGAUCCUCCUUGGAGAUGCUUGAUAUUUCUGAUACAAAGGUGCAGAGGCAGUCUAAAGGGAAAUUUUGUUUGUUUCUAGAAAGGAUUCCUCUAAAACCAUUCACUUUUUAUCAUGGAAUUCAUAUAAAUCACUUUACCUAAGAUCUCUUAUGAAUGCGGCAACUGGAAACUUGAACUGAACAUUGCAUAUAGAGUUUGAACUUCUGUUUUCACAACCUGCUUUCACCCGUCAAACCUAAGUCUGAAUAUCUGAAAAUCUUUAAAGCUUUUUGGGCUAGGCUAACUGAAAAACUGGGCUGCUAGAUCUUGUUUUUUGGAAGUUGACAGUUAACCUUUCAAAAGAUAUGUAUAUUUGUCAGAUACAUAAUUUUUCUGCAUGAGUUGCAAGAACUUCACGGUGGUUCAUUAGUUUCAUAUCAAUACCCAUCUGGAAUUGCAUGCAUCUGUCAAUUUCUUGAUGCCAUCUCUUUUAAGAGAGUACCCGUGUGUAAAUUGAGUCCUGAACUCGAGACUCGAAGCUUCGUGGGUUAGACUAUUUUUAUUUCCCACUUGCACGGUCUUGCAAGGAUAAGUUACGAAGGUUGUGCACUUGGCUUAAUCCCCAUGUUCAGGAAUUAGUUAUUAGCAAUGCAUGACAGACCUCUAUUAUACUUCGAUUGGGAUGUGAUAGCACGACGGAUGCAUAUGCUUGGUGGUGUCUUGCUCUAUUUCUUCAUCAAGUUUAAAAGAAAGAAUAUUUGUCUUUACUGUUUACUUUUGUCUUGUUAGAACCAAUCUUGAGUUGUACUGAAUAAAUAAAAUGUAUCAAGCUAACCCAUAAAUAAUGUGCUUGUGAUAUUUCAGGUUUCUGCUGCUGCUUUGGCUCAUGUGAUUUAUAGAAAUCCCGAUCUAAAAUGUUUGAAAGCAAGAGGCUGUAGGCAUUUGCUAGUAAAGGAAAGUAAGACGGAAGAGAGAAACUUGCCUGCUUUAUUGCGUACUCCAAAAGAGUGGUACUCUGAGCUUGGCAAGUCCUGCAAAUUGGACGAGAUUCAACUUGGAUGGGGUUUUUCAUCUCUUUAUAUGGAAGCACUUAAACCGGCAUUUAGAACAUUAAGAACGGUAGUUGUUGGUUUAGGUGGAUCCUUGGGCCAAGAUGGGCUGAAGCAGUUAUCAGAUAUCUGUCCUUUGAUUGAGACCAUGGUUCUAUAUUUUCAGGUAAUGAUUGUUUAGGAGAUAUAAUUAAUGUCAUCCGUAGCAAAUUAUCCGAUCAUCAUAAUUGAUGAGUGUUGAUUGCAAGCUUUGCAUAAAAUGUUCAAGAUUUAGGUUGUAUAUUUUCUCUUGACCAGCAAGAGUGAGACAACAGUGGAACUAAAACGGUAUAAGAAUAGAAAUAUUAUACUCAUAGGAACUAGGUCUUGGCAUUUUCUAGUUUGCUCAUUGGUACUCUCUCUCUCUCUCUCAUAAUUCUUUUAUCUCCCAGCAGCAAAAGGCAACUAUCAUUGAACAUCACUUAUCAGUUAAAACCUCUCACGUGAACCAUAUGUUUCUGAUGAAGUUGGAAGCUUUGGUGAUCUCCUGAUCACUAGAGUACAAUUUAUGGAGCUUUUUCGGUGAUCGUUUUUAGUUAUAUGAUAUACUAACUGAUGCUUGAAGCCAUGCACUAAUACAUUGUCUGAUGUUAACAGGUGAUAACUGAUUCUACUAUAAUGCAUGUUAUGAAAACCUUGUUGCAGUUGCAAGUCUUGGCUCUAUCCUAUUGCAUUGGUGAGAUUUCAUCAUUAAGCUUUAAGUUCUUGAUGCCGAAUCUGAAGAACCUGAAACUUGAAAGAGUAACACCAUGGAUGUCAAAUGAAGAUUUGGUUAAUCUGACACAGAAUUGCCCCAAGUUAGUCAAGCUUUCAUUGACAGGGUGCACAAUGCUUAAUUCAGGCGAGUAAUUUCUACCUGAUAACCAGUCUGUAGAAAUUUCAAUGACACUAAAUGCAAUUUUCAUGCAGUGUGACUCUAAUAAGAAUUCUUAUGCUCUGAGUUUCAUAAGCUGCUGUAUAAUCGAGAAUUAAUACUCGUAUAUCAUUUUUUAUUAUAUACAUGCAUCCUUUUGUCUGGGGAUGACUGAGUGAAGUGAUUUGAAUACUGGCUAAAAUAAUAAUAAAAACUUUUCCUUUCCCUUGUUAUGUUCUUUUCAGAAUCCCAAGAUAUUAUUUCAAGUGGUUGGCCAGGGUUGAUAUCCAUUCAUCUUGAGGUUUGCUGUCACCAUUUUCUCUUGGGAUGCCUUUUUAUUAUUUUUUUAAAAAGAUAUGUAGAUCUUACAUUUGCUACCAACUUUGCAAGAGGAGGAUAAAGACUGAAAUACUAUUAUCUGAUAGUAAAUUUGCUAUUACUUUUUUUGUUUUUGCAUACACCUAAGCAGAUGACCUAAACAAUAUUAACAGUUUUGUGUAACCCAAUUCCUGACUAAGGGCAGAUUUUCGACCCCUUUUUUUUUUUCCCUUAUUUUUGCAACCUCUUGCUACAUCUCUAAAAUUUUCUUCUAUACCUGUGAUUCACCCAAUUUUAUUGAGUGUAGAGGAUGGACAAAGUAGCAAUUAAAAAUUAAAACUUGUCUAAACUUGAGGGGCAUGUUGAAGACAACAUUAAAUGAUAUAAAUUGUGUCCUUAUCUAAUAGCUUAAGCAUUUAGAUCAAGCCGUUUAACAUGGUGUCACAUCAAGCAAAGGUCAGUCAAGUCUCGGCUCUGUCCAUUUAAAUGAAUUGUCCACAUGUUAAGUUUUGAUGGACGUGUUGUCGAUGGUAUUUGAAUGAUAUAAAUAUGCCCUAUCUAACAAUUUAAGCUAUUAGAUCAAGUGGUUCAACAAUAAUGAUUGCUGCUGUUAUUUUCCAAUUAGAUUCACCACCUUUCAUAAAGAGAAGUUUUCUAACCUCUUUCAAAAUUCCAAAAUGUGAAAGAAGAACUGUUUUAUAAGUUCAAAAUCAACAAAGAAUUUAAAGUUUUCUGAACAUGCAUGUGAGGGUCUUCAAUUACAAGAGAAGUUCACAGGGAGAGGUGGUCCAUAAUUUGAUCAAGAACGAACCAUUUUUGAUAUGUGCCAGUCCUCUUGCUAGUGAGCACUCAUGUACCAUUAAAGAUUAAGAAGCAAAAUGGAUCAAAGGAAAGAGGAGGUAACAAAGUUAAAAUCAUGAAGUUGGUAAGAAGCAAAAGGGAAGAAAUUACUGCCUGAAGUUGGCCUUGGGCCUUCUUUGAAUCUGAAUUAUAUAAUUCUUUUUUCAUUUAGGGAAUAGAAUCCUUCCUUGAAAGUCAUUUUGAGUUCCCCCAAAGGAUUUCUCCAGUUGUCAAUUACUAUAACUUGCACAAACAGCAAACAGGCAUUCUCUUUGUUGGCCACUAUAUACAUCUACAGGGUACUUUAUCCCCUGAAGUUGGCAUUUGGUAUGCAAGAGCAUAUGCACAGUAUAGGAAUGGACUUGUGAAAUGAAUGAAGAUGGGAAUGAAAUGCAAUAGACAUGGGAUAUCUCAUGUUUGGUUUGUCUAGGAAUAAGAACAGCAAUGGGAUCAGGUUCCACAUUUUUGAUUUCUUAUAUUUGGUCUGUUAUGAAGCAUGGUAAUGAAAUACAGAUUGUGAAAUGGCUAUGCAUACCUUACUGAAAUUUUAUAUUUUAAGCAUUAAUUCAUGUAAUUGGGAAAAUAAUGUCACAUGUCAGAAUUUGAAAACACGUUGCAUUCCAGAUUAUCUAGAUGCUUACGCUGGAUGGAAUGCCAUGAGCCUACUCGAUAUCUUCCUUGCCUGCUUCACUAGAGGGGGAAAAAAUAGGGAGAGGAAGAUAAAUAUUUUUGAAUCUUUCUUCUGUCAAUGGUUGAACCUUCUUGCCCAUGCUUCUACAAGAAGAAGAAGAGAAGCCUAAUCAGACACUAAACUACAGUUACCUUACUGAAGACUCAAAAGAAAAAAUUGAAGAUUAGAUUUUUGAGACAUCUGAAGAUCAAAUUUGCAGAUUCAAUGCUUAAUUCCAUGGUUCUUGAGUUCAUGCUCUCUCAUAUUUUAAUAAUAUCUUCUUGGUGGUUAUUUUACAUGUUCUUUCUAUUGAGAAUGUUUAUACGAGUGUAGUUCAUCUUCUAAGUUGCUUUCUCACUAUCAUAAAUUCAAUGUCUUUUAUGGAAUUUACACCAACAUUAAGGAGGAGGAGCCAAAUCGAUAGAAAUUAAAACCUGAAAUUGGGAAGAGAUGCAAAAGUUUGGCGGUGUUGAAAUUUGUUAAAAAACGGGGGUUCCAUUUUUGUGAAAGAGACCAUAAUUAUAAACCCCACCAAAAUGAGAGCAGUAUCUACGAUAUAGGAUGAAGUGAAUAUAAAUAUUAUUUCAUUCAUUUGAUUGAUGUAUUUCAUCAUCAGUUCUUAUCCUUUUCGGUAUCUUUGUAACAGCGCAUGUUAUUUGUUGUUUAGGACUGUGGAGAAGUAACAACCAAUGACGUUGUAUCUCUUCUGGACUGUCAUGCCCUUGAAGAUCUUAUGCUACGUCACACUGUGAGUCUUCAACACUGGUUUUUUCUCAUGUGGUGUGGCUUGUUUUAACUUUUGGAGGCUAGAUAAUUAACUUAAUUCUAAUUAGGGGUGGUUGCAAUCUGAUCCUAUUAUCCUUCAUUAUAGUUACCAACUGGUUCUCUGCAAAAGAUGAUGAAUUUGAACUUUCCCGUUUUUGCCUCCUUCGGUUUCUUUUUCUUUUUCCUUCAAACAAAAUGAAUAAUUGGACAGCAAAUGUACGACCCGAAGAAAUUACAAGACAAAAUACUUCAUGUUUCCUGUUUCCUGUCCUCCUAGUAUUAUGUGGCAUAUAUUAGGGAUGAACUUUUUGGUUGGUAUAACCUGAGAUCUCAAUCUAGGUAGCAUUCCUUUGACAAGGUACAUAAUGUUUGGAUUUAUAUAUUAGGCAAUCUUUAGUAUCGCAUAAUAGAUGAUAUAUAAGCACAAGAUUGUGAUGAAGACUACCAAUUGCUUGGACUUCGAUUCAGAGUAUGACAGAGAUAAUACAAAAUAUCCCUUUCUUUUCCUCUUCAACCCCUUAACUCCAACCCUAUCACACCCACAACACAGACAUCAAACUGCAAGGUAUAUACAUUAUACUAGUCCUAAUAAUAUAUCGGCACCUAAAAACACUGAACUGUUUUCAAUUUUGUGAAGUUCCAUUCAAUUAUUAUGAUCUCACUAGACAUUUCAUCAAACACUAAUUUCGAAUUCUUGGUCUACCUACAAAAUUCGAAGCUUUAUUUUUGUGAACUAGCAACUUGCUGAUUCUGGAGUGAAUUGUGCUUUAAAUAUUUAGGGCCCUGGAAUUACGAGAAAUUUCAUCAUUUAUGCUGCUUACAAGGUAAUUAUGGCUGCUCACAUGGAAUUACCGUAUUUGGACAUUGUUUUUUCUCAAAUUGUUUGAAGUUCCCCGUUUUAUUGUGUAUUUUUGGUGCCUGCAGUUACCAAUGCUUCGAAAAAUAUCACUUGAUAGAUGUGAUGCAAGGGAUGGAGACUUUGACAUUCCAAAUGUAAGAAAUCUUCUUGGCAUAUUAUAAUUUCACCCAUUACCAUUAUGUAGAUGCAAAGUGUUUGACAAACCUGUGAAACUUCACGUGAAAGGCGUUAUCAUUUCAUGGUGCAGUCAUUAUGUAUUUCAUUAUUUCCUUAAUAUAAUCCGGGGGUUUUUGAAGCUUAUAUUCUUGUAUCUUGUGGUUUGGGUAGAAUUGGAUUAGGAUAAAAAGUGAUUAGUUCUACGGUUAAUUAGGCUUUUUAGUAUUGCUAGUCUACAGAAGAAAUAUUAAUCCAUGUUGGACAACUAGAAUUGUUUUCAUUAAGCAACAAAAAUAACAUCACUAAUUGCAUUAACGUGUAAACUUCUUGUUUAUCCAGGUAUUUAUAGUGAAUGUUAUCUUACUGAUAUUACGGACCUGCUCCAGUGUGAUGACAGGUACUUCUUAAGUAGUGUGAAGAUUGCUAGAUGUAAGCUUCGACCCUGCACCUUUGACCUUCAUAAUCCGGAGGGCCGGAGAACCCCCGUGCAUAAAGAAACUUUAAUAUUGGAGUGGAACAGUGAAAAGCUCACAAGAAUUGUGGUGAAGGAAAGACUUUAAUUUCCACGCUUGAAAUCAGAUAUAACAUCUAUGGAAACACUGUGAAGCAUAUGGAAUGCACAAUGUGUUACUGUACAUUAUUUCGACUCCUGCACUCUAAAAGCAUGUUGGAUAUCACUUGGUCUGUAAUAGAUAAUGUUAAUUUAGGUCUUAUAGUAACAUGAAACUAUGUCAUGUUCAGUAAAUUUGAAAAAAAG
rnacentral:lncRNA from 1 species